GGAAAGAAUGGGGGAAGAUGGAAGAUGCAGAGAUUGGAGAAGGAAGAGAGAGACAGAAGGAUGGCUAGAAAGAGGUGGGAGUCGGGCUACUGCUGACCCUAAGGCGGAGCAAGGAGCGACGGCUAAGAGGAUUUCUUUUUCGUAAAGGCAAAGAGGAAGAAAUGUUUGAGAGAGAGAGAGAGCGUGUUAGCAUUAAUUUAAUUUAUUUUUUAUUUAUAAUAUUUAAUUUACUUGAUGACUAUAUUUAGCAUACGUAUAUUACCAUUUAUAUUGUGACAUGUGAUAUACCAUCAUGUUCCAGUCACAUUGAAAAAUCUCUCAAUUCACAAUCUCUCUAAACCCUAACACACCCCCCACCCCCCAAAAAAAAAAAACCACAAAAAUCCCAAACUCGGUCCACCCAAUCUCUGCCCCUUGGGAGCUGACACUACCAGAAAGUUUAUGGUUCACGCAACCUUCGCAGGGAGAGGGAGAGAGAAAGGAGCGGUGGUACAGGCAUGGCCCGAUGCGGACUGGCAGAACUAAACAGGGAGAGGGAGAGGAAGGAGUGGCGGAAUUUCAGGGGUCGGAGUUUCAGGGCCGCGCGAGGAAUUCGGGGGUUGGAAUUUCAGGAUUUCUGGAUUUUCUACGGCGGAUGAAAGAUUGGCUGCAGUCCUCAAAGCUUUCCUCCACUCGCGCACCUUGCCCAUACUGUCCUUGAAACGUUUUUCAAGUUGAGCAAAUGCAUCUGCAUAACUCCCCUUUUGUUUUCGCACAUCUGAUGGAUUGAUGUUGUAAA